rnacentral:rRNA from 1 species
AGAGUUUGAUCCUGGUUAGGANGAANGCUGGCGGCGUGCUUAACACAUGCAAGUCGAACGGUGAUCUCGGUGCUUGCACCGGGUGAUCAGUGGCGAACGGGUGAGUAACACGUGAGCAACCUGCCCCUGACCCUGGGAUAACCCCGAGAAAUCGGAGCUAAUACCGGAUACGAGACGCACAGGCAUCUGUAGCGUCUGGAAAGAUUCAUCGGUCAGGGAUGGGCUCGCGGCCUAUCAGCUAGUUGGUGAGGUAGUGGCUCACCAAGGCGACGACGGGUAGCCGGCCUGAGAGGGCGACCGGCCACACUGGGACUGAGACACGGCCCAGACUCCUACGGGAGGCAGCAGUGGGGAAUAUUGCACAAUGGGCGCAAGCCUGAUGCAGCGACGCCGCGUGGGGGAUGAAGGCCUUCGGGUUGUAAACCCCUUUCAGCAGGGAAGAAGCGAAAGUGACGGUACCUGCAGAAGAAGCGCCGGCUAACUACGUGCCAGCAGCCGCGGUAAUACGUAGGGCGCAAGCGUUGUCCGGAUUUAUUGGGCGUAAAGAGCUCGUAGGCGGUUUGUCGCGUCUGCUGUGAAAACCCGAGGCUCAACCUCGGGCCUGCAGUGGGUACGGGCAGACUAGAGUGCGGUAGGGGAGACUGGAAUUCCUGGUGUAGCCGGUGGAAUGCGCAGAUAUCANGAGGAACACCNAUGGNNAAGGCAGGUCUCUGGGCCNNAACUGACGCUGAGGAG